rnacentral:rRNA from 1 species
GUAGGUGGCAAGCGUUGUCCGGAAUUAUUGGGCGUAAAGCGCGCGCAGGCGGUUCUUUAAGUCUGAUGUGAAAGCCCACGGCUCAACCGUGGAGGGUCAUUGGAAACUGGAGAACUUGAGUACAGAAGAGGAAAGCGGAAUUCCACGUGUAGCGGUGAAAUGCGUAGAGAUGUGGAGGAACACCAGUGGCGAAGGCGGCUUUCUGGUCUGUAACUGACGCCGAGGCGCGAAAGCGUGGGGAGCAAACAGGGAUUAGAUACCCUGGUAGUCCACGCCGUAAACGAUGAGUGCUAAGUGUUAGGGGGUUUCCGCCCCCUUAGUGCUGCAGCUAACGCAUUAAGCACUCCGCCUGGGGAGUACGGCCGCAAGGCUG